CCUUCGCUUCAUGCCGCCUUGAUCAGUUCGCCCGAGCCUAAUCCUAAUGAGCAAGCCAUUGUUUAUCAAGGUGGAUAUGGAGGAACAGCCACCGACUUUCGCGGCCAAAUAUUGGAUGAGGUUGAGAUACGGGAGUUGCUCAUUGAUCAUGUUGGUCAUCGGUGCUGUUGGGGAAGCCGUCCAGCUCGAACUUGGAAGAUUCAUGCAGUAGAAGACUGCAAUGUAUAUGUUGGAACUCUAGACACAUUUAUAGAG
rnacentral:misc_RNA from 1 species